UGGGGAAUAUUGGACAAUGGGCGCAAGCCUGAUCCAGCCAUGCCGCGUGGGUGAUGAAGGCCCUAGGGUUGUAAAGCCCUUUCGGCGGGGAAGAUAAUGACGGUACCCGCAGAAGAAGCCCCGGCUAACUUCGUGCCAGCAGCCGCGGUAAUACGAAGGGGGCUAGCGUUGCUCGGAAUUACUGGGCGUAAAGCGCACGUAGGCGGUCUUUUAAGUCGGGGGUGAAAUCCUGGAGCUCAACUCCAGAACUGCCUUCGAUACUGGAAGACUCGAGUCCGGGAGAGGUGAGUGGAACUGCGAGUGUAGAGGUGAAAUUCGUAGAUAUUCGCAAGAACACCAGUGGCGAAGGCGGCUCACUGGCCCGAUACUGACGCUGAGGCACGAAAGCGUGGGGAGCAAACA
rnacentral:rRNA from 1 species